AAGAGAUAAGUGCUGAAAGCAUCUAAGCACGAAACUUGCCCCGAGAUGAGUUCUCCCUGACCCUUUAAGGGUCCUGAAGGAACGUUGAAGACGACGACGUUGAUAGGCCGGGUGUGUAAGCGCAGCGAUGCGUUGAGCUAACCGGUACUAAUGAACCGUGAGGCUUAACCUUAC
rnacentral:rRNA from 1 species